rnacentral:rRNA from 1 species
CAAUAGCGUAUACUAAAGUUGUUGCGGUUAAAAAGCUCGUAGUCGGAUUUAGGUCCCGAUCGGGCGCAUAUGCCCCCCUUGCGGGUGGGGCGUGAGUUGCGCUCCGGUCGGGUCUCCCUCCUGGAUCGGCACGUCGCACUUCGCUGUGUGCGUUCAGUUUCGGGCCUUUACUUUGAGGAAAAUAGAGUGUUUCAAGCGGGCGCGCGCCUUGAAUACAUUAGCAUGGAAUAAUACUUUUGGACCUCGGUUCAAUGUCGUUGGUUUCUUGGGCGUGGGGUAGGAGCUCAAUAGGGAGUGGUCGGGGGCGAUUCGUACUUAACUGUCAGAGGUGAAAUUCUUGGAUCUGUUAAAGACGGACCGCUGCGAAAGCAUCUGCCAAGCACGUCUUCUUUGAUCAAGAACGAAAGUUAGGGGAUCGAAGAUGAUCAGAUACCGU